rnacentral:rRNA from 1 species
GGACGAACGCUGGCGGCGUGCUUAACACAUGCAAGUCGAACGGGAUCAUUCAGAUAGCUUGCUAACUGGAUGUGAGAGUGGCGAACGGGUGAGUAACGCGUAGGUAACCAACCUUGUACUGGGGGAUAGCCCCGUGAAAACGGGAUUAAUACCGCAUAAGACCACACUACCGCAUGGUAGAGGGGUAAAAACUUUGGUGGUACAAGACGGACCUGCGUCUUAUUAGCUAGUUGGUGAGGUAAUGGCUCACCAAGGCGACGAUGAGUAGCCGACCUGAGAGGGUGAUCGGCCACACUGGGACUGAGACACGGCCCAGACUCCUACGGGAGGCAGCAGUGGGGAAUAUUGCGCAAUGGGGGAAACCCUGACGCAGCAACGCCGCGUGAGUGAUGAAGGUUUUCGGAUCGUAAAACUCUGUCUUUGGGGAAGAUAAUGACGGUACCCAAGGAGGAAGCCCCGGCUAACUACGUG